GGUGCGGCUAGCGUAUUAACAGGUGUGACGCAGGAAGGUAGUCAGUCCUCGGCGAUGGUUGUCCGAGGCCAAGGGUGUAGGCCGAGAGAUAGGCAAAUCCGUCUCUCAUAUAAGGCUGAGACCUGAAGGGGAGCCCGCAAGGGCAAGAUCUGAUGAUCCUAUGCUGCCAAGAAAAGCAUCGACGCGAGGUUCUAGCUGCCCGUACCCCAAACCGACUCAGGUGGUCAGGUAGAGAAUACCAAGGAGAUCGAGAGAAUCGUGGUUAAGGAACUCGGCAAAAUGCCCCCGUAACUUCGGGAGAAGGGGGGCCUAAGGCGUG
rnacentral:rRNA from 1 species